rnacentral:rRNA from 1 species
GUGGGGAAUAUUGGACAAUGGGCGAAAGCCUGAUCCAGCCAUGCCGCGUGUGUGAAGAAGGUCUUCGGAUUGUAUAGCACUUUAAGUUGGGAGGAAGGGCAGUAAGUUAAUACCUUGCUGUUUUGACGUUACCGACAGAAUAAGCACCGGCUAACUUCGUGCCAGCAGCCGCGGUAAUACGAAGGGUGCAAGCGUUAAUCGGAAUUACUGGGCGUAAAGCGCGCGUAGGUGGUUUUGUAAGUUGGAGGUGAAAUCCCCGGGCUCAACCUGGGAACUGCCUCCAAAACUGCAUGACUAGAGUACGGUAGAGGGUAGUGGAAUUUCCUGUGUAGCGGUGAAAUGCGUAGAUAUAGGAAGGAACACCAGUGGCGAAGGCGACUACCUGGACUGAUACUGACACUGAGGUGCGAAAGCGUGGGGAGCAAACAGGAUUAGAAACCCCGGUAGUCC